rnacentral:rRNA from 1 species
UAAGACGAACCGUGCGAACGUUGUUCGGAAUCACUGGGCUUAAAGGGCGCGUAGGCGGGCUGUCAAGUCUGGGGUGAAAUGCCGCGGCUCAACCGUGGAACUGCCUUAGAUACUGACGGCCUCGAGGGAGGUAGGGGCGUGCGGAACUGUAGGUGGAGCGGUGAAAUGCGUUGAUAUCUACAGGAACUCCGGUGGCGAAAGCGGCGCGCUGGACCUCUUCUGACGCUGAGGCGCGAAAGCUAGGGGAGCAAACGGGAUUAGAUACCCCGGUAGUCCUAGCCCUAAACGAUGGGUACUAGGUAGUAGACUAGAUAUGGGUUUACUGCCGAAGCUAAAGUGCUAAGUACCCCGCCUGGGGAGUAUGGUCGCAAGGCUG